rnacentral:lncRNA from 1 species
GAUGGGAUAAUUGUUUUUGAUUUGUGGAAAAUUCAAAUCAAUGACAUAGGUUGAUAUAUUCAAGAAAAUACAAGGUGGGGGUUAGUACACAUGUAUUACUUGGCAUUGUUGUAAGUGUGUUGUGAGGUUAAUUCACUUUUGAUAUGUGAAAUUUUUUGAAGUUGUCGCACUUCAAGUGAAAUAUAGUCUAGAUCACGGUCUAUGAUAAUUUUUU